rnacentral:misc_RNA from 1 species
UUUUUACAUUAUUUUUUAGGGAUCGACUGAAAUUCUGGGGUUUAAUCCAAAGCAACUGUUGAUGCACCUUAAAGAAUUCAGAAUCAUUUCCAAGAAAUUAAUCUUGUGGUUUGUUUUGUUUUAAAGGGGCAUCCGAAGACACCAUAAAUUUAAGGUAGGUUCGCGGGACACAAAAGUCGGGUAAUCAUUACUUGGUUUGACCCAAGCAACAAAAACCUUUCUUUUGAAUUCUCCAAUUCAAUUCAAGUGCAAGCACUCUCCGAGAAUCAGAAAAUAUCACUGUGGUAAUGAUCCUUCCGCAGGUUCACCUACGGAAA